AUUGAACGCUGGCGGCAUGCUUUACACAUGCAAGUCGAACGGCAGCGCGGGCUUCGGCCUGGCGGCGAGUGGCGAACGGGUGAGUAAUACAUCGGAACGUGCCCAGUAGUGGGGGAUAGCUCGGCGAAAGCCGGAUUAAUACCGCAUACGACCUGAGGGUGAAAGCGGGGGAUCUUCGGACCUCGCGCUAUUGGAGCGGCCGAUGACAGAUUAGCUAGUUGGUGGGGUAAAGGCCUACCAAGGCGACGAUCUGUAGCUGGUCUGAGAGGACGACCAGCCACACUGGGACUGAGACACGGCCCAGACUCCUACGGGAGGCAGCAGUGGGGAAUUUUGGACAAUGGGCGAAAGCCUGAUCCAGCAAUGCCGCGUGUGUGAUGAAGGCCUUCGGGUUGUAAAGCACUUUUGGCGGGAACGAAAAGGACUGUGCCAAUACCACGGUUCGAUGACGGUACCCGCAGAAUAAGCACCGGCUAACUACGUG
rnacentral:rRNA from 1 species